UCUUCAAAGCAGAGCAUAAAAUGGCCCCUGUUAACCCUCACCUGACCACCUGGCUGACCCUGAGAAAAACCACACAUCAUGCUGCCUCAGACCACCAGCAACAGUGAACUCAGCACUGCUGCAUCAUACAGAGACAUGUCCUCCUCCUGCCAGUGACCAGGGUUCUUCUCAGCUUUCAGAAGGCCUUUCUCUCCUGUGAAUCCUUCAUAGCUGAGACCCUCACAGAUGAACAGAAAGUUAUCAUCAACACUUCUGAAACAUCCACAUGUUAAAUCUCACUGACAGGAGAUGAUUUGUGCUCUGCAGCACUGUUCAAGGAUCAGUUCCACCUUCAUGCUUGCAUCAUCUUCCUCUCCAGUAGAGACAAACUGCUGUUGACUCUUUGGUUGGUGGUCACAUGUCUGUCACCCGUCUUCACACACAUCCAUAAAGGAUGUGAAGGGGACCAAGGGCCUCCUCACGAUGGAGGGGGACAUUGUGCAAGUAUGUUGAUUCUGUUCAUCACAGUAACACACUGAUACACUAACUUUAAUCAACAUUCCCAGUAAUUACAAUGUGUGCACUGAUCUUCUGUAGGUUUAUUGUU